rnacentral:rRNA from 1 species
GAACGCGAAGAACCUUACCUGGCCUUGACAUGCUACUAACGAAGCAGAGAUGCAUUAGGUGCCCGAAAGGGAAAGUAGACACAGGUGCUGCAUGGCUGUCGUCAGCUCGUGUCGUGAGAUGUUGGGUUAAGUCCCGCAACGAGCGCAACCCUUGCCAUUAAUUGCCAUCAUUUAGUUGGGCACUUUAAUGGGACUGCCGGUGACAAACCGGAGGAAGGUGGGGAUGACGUCAAGUCCUCAUGGCCCUUAUGGCCAGGGCUUCACACGUAAUACAAUGGUCGGUACAGAGGGUUGCCAACCCGCGAGGGGGAGCCAAUCCCGGAAAGCCGAUCGUAGUCCGGAUUGCAGUCUGCAACUCGACUGCAUGAAGUCGGAAUCGCUAGUAAUCGCGGAUCAGCAUGUCGCGGUGAAUACGUUCCCGGGUCUUGUACACACC